AAUGAACGCUGGCGGCAGGCCUAACACAUGCAAGUCGAGCGGAAGCACAGGAAGAUCUUGUUCUUGCGGUUGGCGACGGGCGGGUGGGUGAUAGAUACAUCGCAAUCCUCUUUGUCUGGGGUGAUUACGGGGGGAAGGUUACGAUAACAGCUGAUAUGAGCAACGGCUUGAAUCAAGAGUUCUUGGCAGUUUUCCUGUCACAUAUAGCUGAUGUCGGAUUAGCUAGUUUGCUGGGUAAAGGCCCACCAAGGCGACGAUCCGUAGCUGGUCUGAGAGGAUGAUCAGCCACACUGGAACUGAGACACGGUCCAGACUCCUACGGGAGGCAGCAGUGGGGAAUAUUGGACAAUGGGCGCAAGCCUGAUCCAGCCAUACCGCGUGGGUGAAGAAGGCCUUCGGGUUGUAAAGCCCUUUUGUUGGGAAAGAAAAGCAGCAGGUUAAUACCCCGCUGUUCUGACGGUACCCAAAGAAUAAGCACCGGCUAACUUCGUG
rnacentral:rRNA from 1 species